UGAACGCUGGCGGCGUGCCUAAUACAUGCAAGUCGAGCGAGCGGACGAGAAGCUUGCUUCUCUGAUGUUAGCGGCGGACGGGUGAGUAACACGUGGAUAACCUACCUAUAAGACUGGGAUAACUUCGGGAAACCGGAGCUAAUACCGGAUAAUAUUUUGAACCGCAUGGUUCAAAAGUGAAAGACGGUCUUGCUGUCACUUAUAGAUGGAUCCGCGCUGCAUUAGCUAGUUGGUAAGGUAACGGCUUACCAAGGCAACGAUGCAUAGCCGACCUGAGAGGGUGAUCGGCCACACUGGAACUGAGACACGGUCCAGACUCCUACGGGAGGCAGCAGUAGGGAAUCUUCCGCAAUGGGCGAAAGCCUGACGGAGCAACGCCGCGUGAGUGAUGAAGGUCUUCGGAUCGUAAAACUCUGUUAUUAGGGAAGAACAUAUGUGUAAGUAACUGUGCACAUCUUGACGGUACCUAAUCAGAAAGCCACGGCUAACUACGU
rnacentral:rRNA from 1 species